rnacentral:rRNA from 1 species
UAGGGAAUCUUCGGCAAUGGACGAAAGUCUGACCGAGCAACGCCGCGUGAGUGAAGAAGGUUUUCGGAUCGUAAAACUCUGUUGUUAGAGAAGAACAAGGACGUUAGUAACUGAACGUCCCCUGACGGUAUCUAACCAGAAAGCCACGGCUAACUACGUGCCAGCAGCCGCGGUAAUACGUAGGUGGCAAGCGUUGUCCGGAUUUAUUGGGCGUAAAGCGAGCGCAGCGGUUUCUUAAGUCUGAUGUGAAAGCCCCCGGCUCAACCGGGGAGGGUCAUUGGAAACUGGGAGACUUGAGUGCAGAAGAGGAGAGUGGAAUUCCAUGUGUAGCGGUGAAAUGCGUAGAUAUAUGGAGGAACACCAGUGGCGAAGGCGGCUCUCUGAUCUGUAACUGACGCUGAGGCUCGAAAGCGUGGGGAGCAAACAGG